CUCCAGGUAAAUUCCACUUAUAUACUAUCAAUAUAAAAUGUAAUAACAAAUCUAUAACUAUAUUUGACAUCCUGCGCAUCCCUGACUGGUACCCAGCAUCCCAGCACUGUUAGGGAUGCAGCCCAUAUGGGAUGGCUCGGAUGCACAGGGCUCUGUUAAGGGGUAAACCCCAAGCCCCUGUGUCAUUCCAGCCCAUGGGAAUGAGGGGAAAUCCCAUUGAUGUGGAGGGAGGAGCAGCGAUGGAUGCCCAGGCAAAGGGAAUGGAUGGGAAUGUAUGGAUGCUGUGAGCAUCUCCAGGGCAAACUGCUUUGGAAUGAGGAAGCUCCAUACACAUGGAUAUGGUGCAUGGACAUGGAUCCAUUCCCUCCUCCUCUGCUUGGGAGCUCCACAGGGUAAAUAUGCCCUUUGCUAAAGGAAGCAGCUUUGGAUGGUGCCUCCAGUGCUUGGAGCUGGUUCCUGCUCAUCCCUGAUCCAAAGCAUCCUGCUCAUCCCAUGGAAUUCCCAUGUUUGGAUGGAUGACUUCCCUUCUGCAUCAUCAGUUCCGGUGCUUAGAGACAAUGGGGAUCAUUGCUCACAACAGCCUGUUGUUUGCUCCUGGGAUAUGGGUAUCCAUUGACAGGCAGCAUCCGAGGGCAUUCCUCAAAGCUGGAAUUGAGGGAGAUGCUUCUCAGCUCCAUCCUCUAGGCCAUCCCUUCCUGCAGGCAACGAGGAUCCGCUCUAAAGGGAUGGGAAUGGAUUCCCAUCCAUGCUGUGGCAGGGAAUGGCAAUGGAUCCCUGUGGCUGUUUCACAUGGCAGCUGGAUGAUGCUAAGGUCCUUUCCAAGCCAUUGGCUGAUCCUAUGGGACAUCUAUGGGGAGAUAAGCACCUGCAUCCCUUCUCCACGCCUGGAAGAGCAGGGUAUGGAGCCGAGGGCUCCAGGCUGCUUCCAUGGAUCCUUUUGGGCUGGCUUCUCACCUAUGGAUGCCCUCGGGAUGAGUGAUGCUGCUCAAUUGGCUGCUGUUAUCCCUAUGGAUCUGGCUCUUCCCCACAGCUCCUGUCACCUCCUCCAGGCAGGACAAACGUGCUGCAGCAUCCCCCAGCCAUGAGGAUGAGCUGCCAAGCACAAGAGGAGCAAGGUGCCAGCUCCUCAGCAUCCAUCCCACAUUGGCAUCCCUGUAUCCGCAUCCCUGUAUCCACAUCCCUGUAUCCACAUCCCUGUAUCCGCAUCCCUGU